GACGAACGCUGGCGGCGUGCUUAACACAUGCAAGUCGAACGGAAAGGCCCUGCUUUUGUGGGGUGCUCGAGUGGCGAACGGGUGAGUAACACGUGAGUAACCUGCCCUUGACUUUGGGAUAACUUCAGGAAACUGGGGCUAAUACCGGAUAGGAGCUCCUGCUGCAUGGUGGGGGUUGGAAAGUUUCGGCGGUUGGGGAUGGACUCGCGGCUUAUCAGCUUGUUGGUGGGGUAGUGGCUUACCAAGGCUUUGACGGGUAGCCGGCCUGAGAGGGUGACCGGCCACAUUGGGACUGAGAUACGGCCCAGACUCCUACGGGGGGCAGCGGUGGGGAAUAUUGCACAAUGGGCGGAAGCCUGAUGCAGCAACGCCGCGUGCGGGAUGACGGCCUUCGGGUUGUAAACCGCUUUCGCCUGUGGCGAAGCGUGAGUGACGGUAAUGGGUAAAGAAGCACCGGCUAACUACGUG
rnacentral:rRNA from 1 species